GAAUCUUGCGCAAUGCGCGAAAGCGUGACGCAGCAACGCCGCGUGGGGGAAGAAGGCCUUCGGGUUGUAAACCCCUUUCAGGAGGGACGAAGGUGCGACGGUGAACAGCCGCUCGCACUGACGGUACCUCCAGAAGAAGCCCCGGCUAACUACGUGCCAGCAGCCGCGGUAAUACGUAGGGGGCAAGCGUUGUCCGGAAUCAUUGGGCGUAAAGCGCGCGUAGGCGGCCCGGUAAGUCCGCUCUGAAAGUCCAAGGCUCAACCUUGGAAUGCGGGUGGAUACUGCCGGGCUAGAGUCCGGAAGAGGCGAGUGGAAUUCCUGGUGUAGCGGUGGAAUGCGCAGAUAUCAGGAGGAACACCAAUAGCGAAGGCAGCUCGCUGGGACGGUACUGACGCUAAGGCGCGAAAGCGUGGGGAGCGAACAGG
rnacentral:rRNA from 1 species